rnacentral:rRNA from 1 species
GGACCAAGGAGUCUAGCGUGUGCGCGAGUCAUUGGGAUAUUUACGAAACCUAAAGGCGCAAUGAAAGUGAAGGUCCGCCAUGCGCGGACCGAGGGAGGAUGGACGGUCUCGAGGGGCCGUCUCGCACUCCCGGGGCGUCUCGCUCUCAUUGCGAGAAGAGGCGCACCCAGAGCGUACACGCUGGGACCCGAAAGAUGGUGAACUAUGCCUGGUCAGGACGAAGUCAGGGGAAACCCUGAUGGAGGUCCGUAGCGAUUCUGACGUGCAAAUCGAUCGUCGGAACUGGGUAUAGGGGCGAAAGACUAAUCGAACCAUCUAGUAGCUGGUUCCCUCCGAAGUUUCCCUCAGGAUAGCUGGCGCUCGCUUCACGCGAGUCUCAUUCGGUAAAGCGAAUGAUUAGAGGCAUUGGGGUCGAAACGGCCUCAACCUAUUCUCAAACUUUAAAUGGGUGAGAUCUCCGGCUUGCUUGAACUGUAUAUGUGAAGCCGCGAGAUGUCGGAUCAGAGUGCCAAGUGGGCCACUUUUGGUAAGCAGAACUGGCGCUGUGGGAUGAACCAAACGCUGAGUUAAAGCGCCUAAAUCGAUGCUUAUGGGAUACCAUGAAAGGCGUUGGUAACUUAAGACAGCAGGACGGUGGCCAUGGAAGUCGGA